UUGAACGCUGGCGGCAGGCCUAACACAUGCAAGUCGAGCGGAUGAAGGGAGCUUGCUCCUGGAUUCAGCGGCGGACGGGUGAGUAAUGCCUAGGAAUCUGCCUGGUAGUGGGGGAUAACGUCCGGAAACGGGCGCUAAUACCGCAUACGUCCUGAGGGAGAAAGUGGGGGAUCUUCGGACCUCACGCUAUCAGAUGAGCCUAGGUCGGAUUAGCUAGUUGGUGGGGUAAAGGCCUACCAAGGCGACGAUCCGUAACUGGUCUGAGAGGAUGAUCAGUCACACUGGAACUGAGACACGGUCCAGACUCCUACGGGAGGCAGCAGUGGGGAAUAUUGGACAAUGGGCGAAAGCCUGAUCCAGCCAUGCCACGUGUGUGAAGAAGGUCUUCGGAUUGUAAAGCACUUUAAGUUGGGAGGAAGGGCAGUAAGUUAAUACCUUGCUGUUUUGACGUUACCAACAGAAUAAGCACCGGCUAACUUCGUG
rnacentral:rRNA from 1 species